rnacentral:tRNA from 1 species
GAGGGUAUAGCUCAGGGGUAGAGCGUGUGCCCAGCCUACAGGAGGUCCUGGGUUCAAUCCCCAGCACCCCUA